ensembl:lncRNA
CCGUUGCAAGCCCGUGAUCCGCUGGGUCCGCACCCCCCAGGGCGGGGCCGCGGCUGUCACCUCCGGCACGGUGAGGUGAGGACACCGAGCUCAGGGCGCCUGUGAAAGGGUCCCCUCUUGACCUUGCCUCAGCCUUGCCCCGGGAGCGCGGCCACACGGACAGCAGGGGCUCCCUGGCAAAGGCCCUUGGGCCGGGUCACACCCACAGGCGCGCAGAGGGGAAGGACAUGCCCGCUUGAGGGGGGCAGAAACCGGGCCCCGAAGAAGGAGCCGCAGGCUCAGAGCUGGGAUCGUGCAGGUGCUGGGGCCAUGGCGGCCGGGCACACACAAGGACACCGCGGUAGAGACGCCGUGCACACAGGGCCGCGGGCCUGGCCGUCUGGAGCCCGAGGGGAGCCGGUCACCCCUCUGCUCAGAACCCUGACAGCUCCCUAUCUACUCAGCAUAAAGGCCAGAGGCUUCCAGGUAACUCAGAGGCUCAGGGUGAUGCGCCUUUGCUGCCUGCACAUCGCCCCUCUCAGCGGUCACUCACUCUCCUUGGACCACCCUGGCUCUUGGCUGUUCCUGGAAGGCACAGGCACCCCAGGGCCUUUGAACCUGCUGUUCCUUCUGCCCUGUAUGCUCUUCCUCCCACAUAUCGCCAGGGCUGCCUCCCUUACCUCUUUCAUGUCUUCCGCCGAAUGUCAGCUUCAUAUGAGAUCUCCCCUGGUCCUGCUCUAAAAUUUCAAAACUCCUCCCCGAAGGGUGCCUGUUCUCCUCUCCUAAUUAACCAUCUCCGUCUUCAUUGCCAUCUAACACCACACACAUUAUUAGUUUGCCCCAUCUCCUGUCUGUCUUCUCAACAAGAACCCAAGCUCCCGAAGGGUAACAACUUUAUCUUCUUCACUGCUGUCUUCGGGGCAGGAAGGGAGAAGGCUGUCAGUGACAUCUGUGGGCAGAGGGCACGGCCACUCGCCUGGGUGAGGCUGCCUCUGUGGCCUUGGCUCAGCCUCCAGGUGACCUUGAGCAAGUCACUGUCCCUGCUGAGGGCUUCCGGACAGGACCCAGGCAAGGAAAUUGAGGCAGAAAGAGGACAAGCCGCUGUGCGAGGUCACCAGGAUGGCAGCCUGGUCCAGCUCCCUGGGUCUGAGUUCAGGGUUUACAAGCUUGGGCUGCUGCCUCUGCACACCAGUCCCGUGCUCCCCUCUACACACAUCCCCCGGCUGCCGCUGUGAAAGCCACCCUGGACACUAUGUUCCUCUGGGACCCUGAUGCCUGCAGGCCACCGAUGCCACAGGGAGCUGAAGGACCAUGGGGACCAACCGUGUCUAGAUUGUGAGGCCUCAUUAAAUGGGAUUUAUUUUAGGCUGGUAAAUUUUAGGGAGGUUUG